ACGGAGGAUCCAAGCGUUAUCCGGAAUCAUUGGGUUUAAAGGGUCCGUAGGCGGGUCUUUAAGUCAGGGGUGAAAUCCUGGAGCUCAACUCCAGAACUGCCUUUGAUACUGAAGAUCUUGAGUUCGGGAGAGGUGAGUGGAACUGCGAGUGUAGAGGUGAAAUUCGUAGAUAUUCGCAAGAACACCAGUGGCGAAGGCGGCUCACUGGCCCGAUACUGACGCUGAGGCACGAAAGCGUGGGGAGCAAACAGGA
rnacentral:rRNA from 1 species